rnacentral:rRNA from 1 species
AUGCUCGCCGGGGCCAAGGAGGAGCAUCGAGGGGAAUACUGCCCGGCUGAGAGGUGUGGCAACCUCACAGUAUCCAAUUCAUUCUGGAUCGCUAACGAGGAGGUGGGAAGAUCGUGUGGCCCCUUGGACUUCCAGGUCAGUUGCUUAAACGACAACAAUCCAUUUCUCCUGAGCUCUGGAUUCACUGCCUUCGGAAUCAUGGACAUCUGGUACGAGGACCGCAAUCUGCGUGUCGUUGAUGUACAUAAAGAGAAAGACUUCAACGUCUCAAAGAGCAGUUGCAAUUUCCCGAGUAGGAACACCUCCAGCAAGCUGGCACUGCCGUUCAAGGUCAACCCCACCAACAUGAACCUCAUCUUCUACAAGUGCACCAAGAUGGUGGCGCUGCUGGAGGUGAGAUAUGUGAACGCGAGCAACAUGUUUGUUCAUGCGGGAGUGCGUUUCGGUGAGACCGGGAACUAUGACGACUACGCCUUGGAGGGCUGUGAUGCUAUCAUCGUGCCGGUGAUGGGUUCGUCGGGCUGGGCCAACGCGAGCGACUACGAGCAGCUCAUCAGCCAUGGCGCACCAUCUACAGCUCCCUCGAAGCCGGCACCUGCUUCUUCGAGCUCGCACACGCCGGCGCGUACCAUUGACGAUCGGCCAUGGCGGCAGUGGAAGCAGUGUGCGCUUCCCCUGGUCGGCAUGCUCGCCGAGCGCCUCUACGGCUACAAGCUGGUGCGUUCUGCUGCAAGCGACGCAGAGCAUGCGUCCUCCGUCGAGACCUGCAUGAGAACAAGUCCCAACUUGUCAAUGAGCAUCCUCCAAAGCCUAAGAGUGUAA